rnacentral:tRNA from 1 species
GAGGGUAUAGCGCAUUGGUAGAGUGCGUGUUUAGCAUGCAUGAGGUCCUGGGUUCAAUGCCUUGUACCUCCA